rnacentral:rRNA from 1 species
UGAGGAAUAUUGGUCAAUGGGCGAGAGCCUGAACCAGCCAAGUAGCGUGCAGGAUGACGGCCCUAUGGGUUGUAAACUGCUUUUAUGCGGGGAUAAAGUGAGCCACGUGUGGCUUAUUGCAGGUACCGCAUGAAUAAGGACCGGCUAAUUCCGUGCCAGCAGCCGCGGUAAUACGGAAGGUCCGGGCGUUAUCCGGAUUUAUUGGGUUUAAAGGGAGCGUAGGCCGUCUGAUAAGCGUGUUGUGAAAUGUCGGGGCUCAACCUGGGCAUUGCAGCGCGAACUGUGAGACUUGAGUGCGCGGGAAGUAGGCGGAAUUCGUCGUGUAGCGGUGAAAUGCUUAGAUAUGACGAAGAACUCCGAUUGCGAAGGCAGCCUGCUGUAGCGCAACUGACGCUGAAGCUCGAAAGCGUGGGUAUCGAACAGG